GACGAACGCUGGCGGCGUGCCUAAUACAUGCAAGUUGAGCGCUGAGGGUUGGUACUUGUGCCAACUGGAUGAGCAGAGAACGGGUGAGUAACGCGUGGGGAAUCUGCCUUUGAGCGGGGGACAACAUGGGGAAACGAAUGCUAAUACGGCAGAAAAACUUGAAACACAAGGUGGAAGGGUGAAAGAUGCAAUUGCAGGACGGAAAGGUGAUCCCGCGUUGUGUUAGCUAGGUGGUGAGGUAAAGGCUCACCAAGGGGAUGUUACAUAGCCGACGUGAGAGGGCGAUCGGCCACACUGGGACGGUGACACGGCCCAUAGGGCUACGGGAGGCAGCCGGAGGGAAACUUCGGGAAUCGACGAAAGUCUGUGCGAGAAGCGCCGAGGGCGUGAAGAAGAUUUUCGGAUCGUAAAACUCGGUUGGUAGAGAAGAACGUUGGUGCGAGUGGAAAGCUCAUCGAGUGACGGUAACUACUAAGAAAGGGCCGGCUAACUACGUG
rnacentral:rRNA from 1 species